rnacentral:rRNA from 1 species
UACGUAGGGGGCAAGCGUUAUCCGGAUUUACUGGGCGUAAAGGGAGCGUAGACGGCUUUGCAAGCCAGAUGUGAAAGCCCGGGGCUCAACCCCGGGACUGCAUUUGGAACUGUAUGGCUGGAGUGUCGGAGAGGCAGGCGGAAUUCCUAGUGUAGCGGUGAAACGCGUAGAUAUUAGGAGGAACACCAGUGGCGAAGGCGGCCUGCUGGACGAUGACUGACGUUGAGGCUCGAAAGCGUGGGGAGCAAACAGG